UUUUUUUUGUAAGUUGUGGAUGUCCAAGUUCGAGCCCCCUCAGGAUUCACGGCCGGCAAGUUUCUAGGUGGAUGAUGUUUUUGGUAAGUUGUGAAUGUCUCAAGUUCGAGACCCCUUAGGAAGGAUUCACGGCCUCUAAAGUUCCUACCAGGAAAAUUUUUUUGGUAAGUUGUGGAUGUCCCAAGUUCGAGACCCCAUAGGAUUCAGAUUCACGGUCGGUAAGUUCCUAGUUGGACUCAUGAUGCAAAGGUGAGCGGAUUGUUUAACUGGGGCUCUCCAAGUUCACACAUUCUUGGCCUCCUCUAUCCUUAGAGUUACUGGUUUAGACCAGAAUCACUUAGACAAUGAUCAAGUAAAACCCAAAAAAGAAAACAUUUGAACGGGGAGAUGAUACCUAGGAGAGGAGCAAACAAGCAGAGCAGACUCGAUCAACAAACCCUGCCUUCUACCAUUAAGCAAUCAUCUAAAAAGAAUCAAGUUCUUACCAAGUAUGUGAAGGGUAGUCCCAUCAUACUGUUGUCUUUGGUAUCAAGAGCUACAGGAUCCACAUUUCACCUACAUAAAUAAGAAAUGCAAUGAGAAAUGUAGAAGAUGUCUUGUCGUUGAUGUCAAGAAAUACAUAAUCCAAAUUUCACCCACAAAAAUAGUAGAUACAAUGAAAAAUGUAGGUGAUGAGACUAGCAGGUUUCCAGAAAUCUAUCAGCAGAAUCAUGGAGUAUUAAUAUAGAAACAAAAGCACAAUAUUACCAGUCACAGGCAUGCGAUACAACUUCACUCCUUUCUGUUGGUAUGGAUCUUGCAGAUGUU
rnacentral:lncRNA from 1 species